rnacentral:rRNA from 1 species
AUACGGAGGGUGCAAGCGUUAAUCGGAAUUACUGGGCGUAAAGCGCGCGUAGGCGGAUAUUUAAGUCUCAUGUGAAAGCCCUGGGCUCAACCUGGGAACUGCAUGGGAUACUGGGUAUCUAGAAUACAGUAGAGGGUAGUGGAAUUUCAGGUGUGGCGGUGAAAUGCGUAGAGAUCUGAAGGAACAUCAGUGGCGAAGGCGACUACCUGGACUGAUAUUGACGCUGAGGUGCGGAAGCGUGGGGAGCAAACGGGAUUAGAAACCCUGGUAGUCC